GGGCCCAGUCUACACCUGCCCUCAGACACAGCGGGGCCCUGGCUGCAGACUCGUUCUCCUGAGGUGGCCGUCUGGGUGUCCUGGGCCACCCCCGGGCCACGGCAGGUCCCACCCGGGCACAGCCACAGAUGACACAGGGGACCUGCAUGUGCCCACGUCUGGAAGCCUCCAGGAGGGCGCCAGGGCUAUUCCCACCUCUUCACUAGAGCAGGCUUGCACACCUGUUUUGGGCUUCCUUCUCCCUCCCCCGACAGCCACAGCCUGCAGAACACAGGACUGUCAAACACUUUUACCUUUCUUGCCUUUCUUGUCUUAAUCUAAAAAGCAUGCAUGCUGAAGCUGCUAUUUUUAUCCAAGAGGAAAAAAUCUCCUUCCAUUUACUUGUUCUUGUACCCCUGAUUGAUUUUUCUGAGUCAAAGGUCUUGUAUUAAAAAAAAAAAAAGAG